rnacentral:rRNA from 1 species
GAGUUUGAUCGUGGCUCAGAGUGAACGCUGGCGGUAGGCCUAACACAUGCAAGUCGAACGGUAACAGGUCUUUCGGGAUGCUGACGAGUGGCGGACGGGUGAGGAAUACAUCGGAAUCUGCUCAGUCGUGGGGGAUAACGCAUGGAAACGUGCGCUAAUACCGCAUACGACCUUCGGGUGAAAGCAGGGGAAUCUUUAGGGAUCCUUGCGCGAUUGAAUGAGCCGAUGUCGGAUUAGCUAGUUGGUAGGGUAAAAGCCUACCAAGGCGACGAUCCGUAGCUGGUCUGAGAGGAUGAUCAGCCACACUGGGACUGAGACACGGCCCAGACUCCUGCGGGAGGCAGCAGUGGGGAAUAUUGGACAAUGGGGGCAACCCUGAUCCAGCCAUACCGCGUGGGUGAAGAAGGCCUUCUGGGUUAUAAAGCCCUUUUGUUGGGGAAGAAAAACAACGGGUUAAUACCCCGUUGGUAUGACGGUACCCAAAGAAUAAGCACCGGCUAACUUCGUGCCAGCAGCCGCGGUAAUACGAAGGGUGCAAGCGUUACUCGGAAUUACUGGGCGUAAAGGGUGCGUAGGUGGUUGCGCCAGUCUGUCGUGAAAGCCCUGGGCUUAACCUGGGAAUGGCGAUGGAAACUGUGCAACUAGAGUGUGACAGAGGGUGGUGGAAUUCCUGGUGUAGCAGUGAAAUGCGUAGAGAUCAGGAGGAACAUUCGUGGCGAAGGCGGCCACCUGGGUCAACACUGACACUGAGGCACGAAAGCGUGGGGAGCAAACAGGAUUAGAUACCCUGGUAGUCCACGCCCUAAACGAUGCGAACUGGAUGUUGGGUCCAACUUGGGAUUCAGUAUCGAAGCUAACGCGUUAAGUUCGCCGCCUGGGGAGUACGGUCGCAAGACUGAAACUCAAAGGAAUUGACGGGGGCCCGCACAAGCGGUGGAGUAUGUGGUUUAAUUCGAUGCAACGCGCAGAACNCUUACCUGGCCUUGACAUGCACGGAACCUUU